CUCUAAGCCAUGCGGRGUCAUUGUAGCAAUACAAGGCAGAACGGCUCAGUAACGCGUAGUCAAUCUACCCUAUGGACGGGAAAUAACCUCGGGAAACUGAGAAUAAUGCCCGAUAGAACAUUAUGCCUGGAAUGGUUUAUGUUUCAAAUGAUUUAUCGCCAUAGGAUGGGACUGCGGCCUAUCAGUUUGUUGGUGAGGUAAUGGCCCACCAAGACUAUUACAGGUACGGGCUCUGAGAGGAGUAGCCCGGAGAUGGGUACUGAGACACGGACCCAGGCCCUAUGGGGCGCAGCAGGCGAGAAAACUUUGCAAUGUGCGAAAGCACGACAAGGUUAAUCCGAGUGGUUUCUGCUAAAGAAACCUUUUGUCAGUCCUAGAAACACUGACGAAUAAGGGGUGGGCAAGUUCUGGUGUCAGCCGCCGCGGUAAAACCAGCACCUCAAGUGGUCAGGAUGAUUAUUGGGCCUAAAGCAUCCGUAGCUCGUUUUGUAAGUUUUCGGUUAAAUCCAUGCGCUUAACGUAUGGGCUGCCGGGAAUACUGCAUAACUAGGAAGUGGGAGAGGUAGACGGUACUCGGUAGGAAGGGGUAAAAUCCUUUGAUCUAUUGAUGACCACCUGUGGCGAAGGCGGUCUACCAGAACACGUUCGACGGUGAGGGAUGAAAGCUGGGGGAGCAAACCGGAUUAGACACCCGGGUAGUCCCAGCUGUAAACUAUGCAAACUCAGUGAUGCAUUGGCUUGUGGCCAAUGCAGUGCUGCAGGGAAAGCCGUUAAGUUUGCCGCCUGGGAGGUACGUACGCAAGUAUGAAACUUAAAGGAAUUGGCGGGGGAGCACCACAAGGGGUGAAGCCUGCGGUUCAAUUGGAGUCAACGCCAGAAAUCUUACCCGGAGAGACAGCAGAAUGAAGGUCAAGCUGAAGACUUUACCAGACAAGCUGAGAAGGUGKUGCAUGGCCCCA
rnacentral:rRNA from 1 species